UGUGUACAAUGGUAAACCAUUCGAAAGAAUGGGGCACAAAGCUAUCCCGGUUUCCGAC
rnacentral:ncRNA from 1 species